rnacentral:piRNA from 1 species
UAGGUAUCUACCCACAGGGAGUCACUUCCA